UACACAUUUAUUGAAUUAUUUAUCUCAUUACACUUGACUUAAUUUUUCCUUUUCACUUCCUCUUGCAUUAUUAUCAUUUUUUUUUUUUAUCAUUUAGUCACCGUUUUUUCCUCACCUGUAUUUUUUUUUCUUCUCCGGUACCUGUUUUUUUUAUACACUUAUUGCUCGUCGUCUGUCACGGUGCAGCGGCAGAAGGUAGAAAUCGUAGUAACAUAGUUUUGGGUUUUUUUGAUUCUCCACACAGCGAUACAUGAACGAGUGGAAUGAACGAUGUGUCACCUGCAUACCUGGGAAAUAAAAAGUGAAAGCGUAGCGGCAGUCCAAACACACACGUAAUUAGUUUCAAAAUCGGACGUUCAUUCCACUACCAAAAAAAAAGUGUCAGUCAGUCAUUCUAUUUGAGAGCCAUUGUGUCAUUUCAUACAUUAACAUUUUUUUUCGUGUAAACGGUGCAGUCAUUCCACCUCAGUCAUUCUUACUUAUACGUUUAUUCCAUAAAAAGGGACAUUUAAACAUUCAAAAGCGAUUAUUUCUCUGGAUGUAAACACAAUACUACUAACUUUUUCACUCACUCUUGAUAUAUAAACCCAAUAAUUACUUUCUCAUUCACUCCUUACACUUAAAACAAUUCCAACCUCAGUCAUUCUACUCAUUCUUCUAAUACAUUCAUUCCACAACAGAAGGACAUUCCGACAUUCAAAAGCGACUACCUCUUGAUAAAUAAACAGUAACAACAUUGAUGAUUUCCUCACACACUCCUUAUGAUUAAAAGAAUUCCAACCUCAGUCAUUCUACUCAUUCUGCUAAUACAUUCAUUCCAUAACAGAAGGAUAUUCAAAUAUACAAAAGCGACUACUUCUCUUGAUACAUAAACUCAAUAAUAAUAACAUCCUCACUUAUUCCUUAUACUUCAAACCAUUCCAACCUCAGUCAUUCUACUCAUUCUGCUAAUACAUUCAUUCCAUAACAGGAGGACAUUCAAAUAUACAAGAGCGACUAUUUCUCUUGAUACAUAAACACAAUAAUAAUAACAUCCUCACUAAUUCCUCAUACUUCCAAUCAUUCCACCACACUCAUUCCUAUAUACCAGAACGCUACUACAGCCAACCAGCCAGCCAGCCAGCCAGACAUUCCAGUACCAGUCAUGCUAGUGCCAACGCUCGGUCAUUCCAGCGUUUCAGUAAAGUGACCUCGGAACGGGCAGUCAUUUCCACACCAACACACAUUCCCCAAAGCAAAUAUUCAUCUGUCUUCAAUAUGGAAAAAGGAAACGAUGGAGUGUGUAUGGAUGAACAAAUGGAGAACCAGCGAAGUGUAAAAUGAGAGAGAGAGAGAGAGAGAGAGAGAGAGAGAAAAUAAUCAACAAGCAACAGCCGCCUUGGGUAAUAUAUCAGUCCGGUAACGCGCAGAAACUGACCUUUUGCUGCUGCAUGAGAGAAAGAAAAUGGAGGGAGAGAAGUGGAUGAAGGCGAGAGAAAGGAAGAGGAGGAGGAGGAGGAGGAGGAGGAGGAGGAGGAAGACGAAUACACACAUAAGGAAGAUCUAUGACUGACUGACUCUCGCUGUUGUAGACACACACACACACACACACACACACAUUGAAAAUAACCACCCAAAAAUGUUUCAAAGUAUUUUUCUCGCGCUUUGAAAUGCCUCUCAUUGGCCCAUCAUUUUUUUCUUCUCAACUUUACUCUUUCCACUUCACCGCCUUUCAUUGCGCUGGCCUGACCUUUAACUUAUCAGGGAAUUGCCUCAUUACACUUCUAAGUACACUAAAGCAUGGACAUUUUUCUGGUAAUCUGUCUUAAUUUAUCUCCUCAUUUUCUUUGACCUUUUUUUUUUCAUCUCCUCUGCCUCCUCCUUCUCUUUAACUCAACUUCUUCUUUUUUCUUCCUCCUCCUUCUCCUUCUUUAACUCCACUUCACUCUUUAAUUCCUCCUCCUUCUCCUCCUCUUUCUUUCCCUUCAACUCUUUAUUCACCUCUUUUCAUGGAAGUUCUUCAUUAGACAUCUUAAUCACUCUUACCAAUGUUUUUUCUUCUGCACUCGUCAUUGUAGUUUCCUUUAUCAGACUUCUAUAUCACUCUUACCAAUGAUUUUUCUUCUGCACACGUCUUAGUACCUUUCCUUCAUCAAAUAUCUACAUCAUCCUUACCAAUGAUUUUUCUGCUACACUUGUAUUUUUCCUUCACUAGACUUCAGCAUCAAUCUUUCCAGUUAUUUUUCUUCUGCACUUCCCUUGGUGGUUUUCCUUCAUGAGACUUCCACAUUACCAUAACCAAUGAUUUUUCUUCUGCGUUUGUCUUGUUACUUUCCCUUCAGUUAACCUCUACAUCAUCCUUACCAAUGUAUUUAUUUUUGCACUUCUGGUACUUUCCCUUCAUUACACCUCUACCUCACCCCGACCAAUGAUUUCCACCCUUCCUUCACCUCCUGGAGCGGUGAAUAACAUGUGUUUAGUGCCCCUACACGCACUCCUCACCCCUGACAGUCACGGAGUGGGUUUAAGGGAACAUAGCACCUUGAUAACAGUGUAAGAGACCGUAAUAUAUUCACCCUUUGAUUUCACCCCCUCUCACUAUGAUUAAAUUCCGUGUCCUUCGCUGCUACUUCUACCUCGCUCAGUGCCCGUGCCUCCACCACCACCAGUAACUACCACCAGUACCUCCACCAUCACCAUCAUUACUACCACCAGUACCACCACCAUCACCAUCAACUACCACCACCAAUACGUGUUCAUUUUUCACGCCUUUUCCUUCCCCCCUUUUUUUUUCUCUCCGUCUCCUCCUCCCCCUCUUCCUCCUCCUCCUCCUCCUCCUCCGCUCUUAUUUUACUGUCAGUAACAUUAUAUUUACCCGUAUCUUUAUGGUGUGUGCGCGUGUCGUGUGGGUUCAGGUCUGUGUGUGUGUGUGUGUGUGUGUGUGUGUGUGUGUGUGUGUGUGUGUGCGUGGGCGUGGAUCUUAAUUUACGCAAUAUUUUUCUAUCUUUUAUCUUAGUAUAUCCAGUUUACUCGGUUGUUCAUUUAUUCAGAGAAGUAAAAACAGGUCCAAUUUUAAUACCUGGCCGAGUUGCUGUGGCGCUGGACGUCAUAUUUUCAUUUCCCGGGUUAUUUUACUGCUAUAAUCUUCCGGACGCCGCUUUUUUCCCGCCCAGCUUGUUAUCUUUUAGUUUCAUCUCUAUUUAUUUUUCCGUUCCUCCCCUUUAUCCACUCCGCCCGCCAACCACCGGCCGCCAUAACCGCACACAUUUUAUAACCGCCGAGCACUUUUAGCGGCCUCCCAUCUCUAUAAUCUUUCAAUGUAUAGUGGCUCGCAGGUAUUUUCCACUUUCAUAAGCUCCCCCCCUCCCCCCUUCCCCCACCUCGUACCCACCUGGUUUACAGAUAACAUGAAAAUACUAAAGAAUGAAAAAAAAAAUAGCAACAUCAGAGACCAUCCAGUAUAAACAUGAAUUUUCUGUAACGAAUUUGCUUUAGAAAGAAUGACGUUUACAUAUAUAUAUCCGCCUUGAAUGUACAGCGCCGUGAAUAGAAAGAUAAAUUAAUAGAAUGUAUUAAUUUAUGAGUAAUGCUUGCUUGCCUGCUACACUUAGGAGGAGGAGCAGGAGGAGGCGGCGGAGGAGGAGGAGGAGGAGGAAAAGGAGGAGGAGGAAGGAUAGGAGAAUGGCUGGAGUACGAAGAAGAUGAGAAGGACAAGAACGAAAUCGUGGAGGACAAAAAGGAGGAAAAGGAAGAAGAAGAGAAGGAGGGACAGAAGGAGGAGGGAAUGAUGAAGAAGGAAGAAAAAAAAGGAAGAAAAGGAGAAAGUAGACUUGGAGGAAAAGGAGGAUGAGAGAGGGGUGAUGAAGCAGGAGGAGGUGUUAAAGGAGGAGGAGAAAGAGGAAGAGGAAGAGAAGGAGGAUGAGGAAGAGGAGUUGUGUGUCUGACUUGGCAACACUAAAGGGGAAGCAAGGAGAAGGGGGGCAGAGGGGGUGGCAGCAAGGCGGUGACAAGGUAGACGUGCAGGUAAUUACGAAUACGUCAGGUGACUUAGGGUCCGCACACCUGUAAUCUUGGCCUAAUGGUGGAGAUGCCGCGCCUCAGACACAGGUGAGAAAGUCAGGUGUUUGGGGAGCUUUUUCAGGUUGUCUGUGUGUGUGUGUGUGUGUGUGUGUGUGUGUGUGUGUGUGUGUGUUAGAGAGAGAGAGAGAGAGAUUUUAGUAAAGUUAAUACGCUUUUGAAAACGUUUGUGUGUGUGUGUGUGUGUGUGUGUGUGUGUGUGUGUGUGUGUGUGUGUGUGUGUGUGUGUGUGUGUGUGUGUGUGUGUGUGUGUGUGUGUGUGUGUGUGUGUAUGUAUGU